GACGAACGCUGGCGGCGUGCUUAACACAUGCAAGUCGAGCGGUAAGGCUCCUUCGGGAGUACACGAGCGGCGAACGGGUGAGUAACACGUGAGCAAUCUGCCCUUCACUUUGGGAUAACUUCCGGAAACGGAAGCUAAUACCGAAUACGACCACUUCAGGCAUCUGAUGGUGGUGGAAAGUUCCGGCGGUGAAGGAUGAGCUCGCGGCCUAUCAGCUUGUUGGUGAGGUAACGGCUCACCAAGGCUUCGACGGGUAGCCGGCCUGAGAGGGUGACCGGCCACACUGGGACUGAGACACGGCCCAGACUCCUACGGGAGGCAGCAGUGGGGAAUAUUGGACAAUGGGCGAAAGCCUGAUCCAGCAACGCCGCGUGAGGGAUGACUGCCUUCGGGUUGUAAACCUCUUUCAGCGGGGACGAAGCGAAAGUGACGGUACCCGCAGAAGAAGCACCGGCCAACUACGUGCCAGCCGCCGCAGUAACAC
rnacentral:rRNA from 1 species